AGAGUUUGAUUCUGGCUCAGGAUGAACGCUGGCGGCGUGCCUAACACAUGCAAGUCGAGCGAAGCACUUUACUUUGAGAUCUUCGGAAGGAUAAGUUUAGUGACUGAGCGGCGGACGGGUGAGUAACGCGUGGGUAACCUGCCUCAUACAGGGGGAUAACAGUUAGAAAUGACUGCUAAUACCGCAUAAGACCACAGCACCGCAUGGUGCAGGGGUAAAAACUCCGGUGGUAUGAGAUGGACCCGCGUCUGAUUAGCUAGUUGGUAAGGUAACGGCUUACCAAGGCAACGAUCAGUAGCCGACCUGAGAGGGUGACCGGCCACAUUGGGACUGAGACACGGCCCAA
rnacentral:rRNA from 1 species